AACAGAAUUAAUGCAUUUAUUCCAUCUUGCUUUAUGAUAUCGGAACUUACAUUAUGCUUGCUUCUAUACUUCUUUAUGACAAUGAAAACCUGCGUUUUGCUGAAUUCAAUCAUGCCUUAUGAUUACUGAAUGCACUUUCAUGUAAUUGCAACCUUGUGUGUUCCCUACUAAACCAUCAAACUCACAUAUUUUAAUAUGCUAUAUGUUUAAUUGCAUCUUUUUUUAAGGACAACGUAUUAUGUUUGGUGUUUAAGAUAGCAUUCUUUAUAACUAUAUGUAACAUGGUAGUUGUAUCUUUAAUUUGCUAUAAAUCUGCCACUUAUAUUGUCGACAUUAUGUCAAAUUAAACUAUUCAUUUUGAUCAAUAAUUGGCUGAUUUGAUGUGUCUUAGCAUUCAUAUGCUUCAAUAUAUUCACUGAUUACAAAUAUAAUGCAAUACAUGAUCACUUCGCAUCGACAACGAAGAUGACAACGAUAGCGAUAUUAUAGUCACAUGUGACAGUACGCACUAAGCAGUUGGCAGUAAGCAUAAUGCGAGUUGCAAUAAUUUGUGUUCAUAUUAUGACAGCAGGUGUCGCUUUGUCGGUACAUCCCGUUAUUUUCCGGAUGAUCCCGUAUUUUGGCACGUGGAGUAAACAAAGUUACGUCCACUUUAUAUAGGGGCGUAUACAGAACAGUGUUAGUUGGGGACUGACAUGUAAAUUUACUAAAAAACAAGAGAACACGAUGCGACAGACGAAAAGUGCGUGUUUUUGAAGAUUCCGCCAGCAUGUGGAAAAAAAAGUUAUAUAUGUCUCUAAUAACUCAUCCUACAAGUGGCAACUCACCUCUUAUACAAUUGUUUACACUUCUUUUUGAGCGUGUGUGAUAAGUGAAAUUGAAUUUUAUCAAACUUAAGGUGGCACAAAGUUUCUGUGUCGUGGCCACGGGUUACUAAGUCGUGGCCACGAGAUAGUUAAGUCGUGGGAACGAGAUAAUAUGUUGUGGCCACGAGAUAAAUAAGUCGUUGGAACAAGUUACUAUGUCGUGGCCACGAGAAAGUUUAGUCGUGGCCACGAGAAAGUUAAUUCGUGCGAACGAGAUAAAUAACCAAUCAAAUUACACUAUUUAUAUGAAUUUUCCUAACAAGGAUGCCCCUACUUCACUUGUCCGUAAAAGUGCCAUUUAUACAAGUUAUUGAUUGGUCAAAGAUUUAGCGUCAUUGUGACCCUGAUUUCUGACCAAAUUGCCUAAAAAUUAUUAGGUGUCAUCUACUGAUCUUUUUAGGUUAUAUAAACUACGGCUUAUUCUUUCUAAAUCAUUCAUCAGACAAGGAUUUUGCAUGAAGUGUCAUGUUUAUCUGACCUGUGACCUCAAACAUCCUUAUAGGAUAUCUACUGUCCAUGGGCAAUGUCCCUUCCCAAUAAAAUAAACCAGGACUAAGUCCCUCUCAAGUUAUGGUAUAAACAAUGUUAACAGGCCUUUGUACGUACAAAAUGACCAAUUCUAUCAUAGAAUUGUCCCAACAAAGGGCUAUAACUAAAGAGAUAAAUAAAAACACACACAUGUCACUUAGUAACUCGUGGCCACGACUUAGUACAGUACAAACUUGAUUUUUUUUUGUAAAAUAAAAUAAAUAUAAUUUGGCUUCACACAAACAUUGUGCUUUAAAUACUUUACACUGUAAUUGGGCAGUAUGAAUAUUCAUGUAUAGUGUUAUUACAAAAAUAUAUAUGGAAGUUUCUUUUAAAGACAGGCACAACUUUACUUGACCCGUAAUAAGGAAAGCAGAUUCCUAUACAUUAUGUGUAUGUGUUUUUAUUUAAAUAAAACAUAUUUAGUAAGAAUUUUAUAGAUUUCAAUAAAUUUCUGUGAUAAAAAUAUAUUACUGAAAGAUGUGCAUAGUAUAUCUUUAAGCACAAAUGUAUGUGAAUGUGGUGGUGUGUGCGGGAUGUCUGAUCUAUAAUCAGACACACAUAUGCCCAACAUUUGUAAUUGACUAUGCACAUGUCACAAAAAUAAACAACUUCCUUCUUUCCUUAUUAUACAUGUAUAUUUUAAUGUGUUACAUACCUAUUCGCCACUAUUAGUGACUGAGACAUUUAUUAAGUUAAAAGGCCAAUUAAUAAGUUUUGCUUUUCAAUGUCCAAGUCAUUAGAUAAAGACCUUCGCAAUCGUAGGCAGGUGCUUAACAACUGGAUGACAGCAUUAUAUGUUUUGAUAAGGGAGUACACUAUGACCACUAUUGCAUGAAACUUACACGUAUAUAUUCCAUCCCAGCUCAUCAACGUAUCUUUGGGGGUAGGUGCAGCCCUUAAGCCAAGGCCUGAAUCCGCCACUGUACGUAUAACUGCCCCAUUGAAUAACUGUUUACGAGCAUAUUUUUUCUAUUAGACUGUAUACAUAUACAUGUAUAAAAUUAUAUUGCAUAAUCCUUACUACUUGUAUUUAUAUUCUUUCCACUGCAAUU